rnacentral:misc_RNA from 1 species
GAUGAAGAACGCAGCGAAAUGCGAAAAGUAGUGUGAAUUGCAGAAUUCAGUGAAUCAUCGAAUCUUUGAACGCACAUUGCGCCCCUUGGUAUUCCAUGGGGCAUGCCUGUUCGAGCGUCAUUUGUACCCUCAAGCUCUGCUUGGUGUUGGGUGUUUGUCUCGCCUCUGCGUGUAGACUCGCCUCAAAACAAUUGGCAGCCGGCGUAUUGAUUUCGGAGCGCAGUACAUCUCGCGCUUUGCACUCAUAACGACGACGUCCAAAAGUACAUUUUUACACUCUUGACCUCGGAUCAGGUAGGGAUACCCGCUGAACUUAAGCAUAUCAAUAAGCGGAGGA